AGCUUUGUGCAGUGGCAGUAUCGUAGCCAAUGAGGUUUAUCCAAGGCGCGAUUAUUGCUAAUUGAAAACUUUUCCCAAUACCCCCCGUGACGACUUAAAAUCUAGUUUGACUGAUGUAAAGAUGACUACUCCAGCUUUCUUUUGACAUCCAUUAGCAUGA
ensembl:snRNA U4 U4 spliceosomal RNA